UCAAAGUAUUGAUUGUCUUUGACGAUCUCCCUUACUGAGGAUGUAUAUGCAGGACAAAUUGUUAAUUAGGAAUUCUUCGUUUAUGAUCUUAGA
rnacentral:snoRNA from 1 species